UGGGCGGGCGGGACUUCCGGUGGCGGUUCCUUAGCGGGGCGGCUUGCGCGGUAGCGCCUCAGGGAAGAACUUCCGGGAGAAGCGGGCUGGCUGGUGGACGCGCGCAGUCCUCGCGAGACUCCGUAGGUGCGCCCUCGCGAGGUCUGGCCGGGACUUCCGGUCGGAGUUCGUAGCGCGGUAGCGCCUCAGCGAACUUCCGGGAGAAGCGGGCUGGCUCGUGAGGAGACACAACCCUCUCCCGGUACUUCCUGUCUGUGUUCCGGUUUCCGGUCUCGGCCUGUCGCUCGCCCUGGAGGGUCCCGCGCGGUGCGCGGUCGCAGUCGCGCGCUUUGGCCGGAGUCCGAGUUCGGAGCACCAGAACACGCUGUUCCGCCCCGGGCCGCUUCCAGCCCCGGGACAGGGGCGGGGCUGCUUCCGGUCAGCGGGGCAGGGCUACUUCCGGUCAGCGGGGCAGGGCUCCGGGGUCAGCGGGGCGGGGCUGCUUCCCGUCAGCGGGGCAGGGCUCCUUCCGGUCAGCGGGCAGGGCUACUUCCGGUCAGCGGGGUAGGGCUCCUUCCUGUCAGCGGGGCAGGGCUACUUCCGGUCAGCGGGGCGGGGCUCCGAGUCAUGGCGUCCCGGCCCGCCACGUGUGACGCGCUGACUCGGGACGGUCUACGCAAGAGGCUGUACCGGACGUUCAAGGAGCGGGGCGUGCUGGACGCGCUCAAGACGCAGCUGAGGAACCUGCUGGUGCGCGAGCUGACGCGCCCCCCUGC
rnacentral:lncRNA from 1 species